rnacentral:rRNA from 1 species
GAGUUUGAUCGUGGCUCAGAACGAACGCUGGCGGCAGGCCCCAAACAUGCAAGUCUAGGGGGCGUAGCAAUACGUCACCGGCGGACGGGUGCGUAACACGUGGGAAUGUACCUACUGGUUCGGAACAACUCAGGGAAACUUGAGCUAAUACCGAAUGAGCCCGAAAGGGGAAAGAUUUAUCGCCAGUAGAUCAGCCCGCGUCCGAUUAGCUAGUUGGUGAGGUAAAGGCUCACCAAGGCGACGAUCGGUAGCUGUUCUGAGAGGAAGAUCAGCCACACUGGGACUGAGACACGGCCCAGACUCCUACGGGAGGCAGCAGUUGGGAAUCUUGGACAAUGGGGGAAACCCUGAUCCAGCCAUGCCGCGUGAGUGAUGAAGGCCUUCGGGUUGUAAACUCUUUCGACGGGGACGAUAAUGACGGUACCCGUAGAAGAAGACUCCGGCUAACUUCGUGCCAGCCGCCGCCGUAAC